GACGAACGCUGGCGGCGUGCUUAACACAUGCAAGUCGAACGGAAAGGCCCUGCUUUUGUGGGGUGCUCGAGUGGCGAACGGGUGAGUAACACGUGAGUAACCUGCCCUUGACUUUGGGAUAACUUCAGGAAACUGGGGCUAAUACCGGAUAGGAGCUCCUGCUGCAUGGUGGGGGUUGGAAAGUUUCGGCGGUUGGGGAUGGACUCGCGGCUUAUCAGCUUGUUGGUGGGGUAGUGGCUUACCAAGGGUUUGACGGGUAGCCGGCCUGGGAGGGUGACCGGCCACAAUGGGACUGAGAUACGGCCCAGACUCCUACGGGGGGCAGCAGUGGGGAAUAUUGCACAAUGGGCGGAAGCCUGAUGCAGCAACGCCGCGUGCGGGAUGACGGCCUUCGGGUUGUAAACCGCUUUCGCCUGUGACGAAGCGUGAGUGACGGUAAUGGGUAAAGAAGCACCGGCUAACUACGUG
rnacentral:rRNA from 1 species